GGAUAACUCCGGGAAACCGGGGCUAAUACCGGAUGGUUGUCUGAACCGCAUGGUUCAGACAUAAAAGGUGGCUUCGGCUACCACUUACAGAUGGACCCGCGGCGCAUUAGCUAGUUGGUGAGGUAACGGCUCACCAAGGCGACGAUGCGUAGCCGACCUGAGAGGGUGAUCGGCCACACUGGGACUGAGACACGGCCCAGACUCCUACGGGAGGCAGCAGUAGGGAAUCUUCCGCAAUGGACGAAAGUCUGACGGAGCAACGCCGCGUGAGUGAUGAAGGUUUUCGGAUCGUAAAGCUCUGUUGUUAGGGAAGAACAAGUGCCGUUCAAAUAGGGCGGCACCUUGACGGUACCUAACCAGAAAGCCACGGCUAACUACGUGCCAGCAGCCGCGGUAAUACGUAGGUGGCAAGCGUUGUCCGGAAUUAUUGGGCGUAAAGGGCUCGCAGGCGGUUUCUUAAGUCUGAUGUGAAAGCCCCCGGCUCAACCGGGGAGGGUCAUUGGAAACUGGGGAACUUGAGUGCAGAAGAGGAGAGUGGAAUUCCACGUGUAGCGGUGAAAUGCGUAGAGAUGUGGAGGAACACCAGUGGCGAAGGCGACUCUCUGGUCUGUAACUGACGCUGAGGAGCGAAAGCGUGGGGAGCGAACAGGAUUAGAUACCCUGGUAGUCCACGCCGUAAACGAUGAGUGCUAAGUGUUAGGGGGUUUCCGCCCCUUAGUGCUGCAGCUAACGCAUUAAGCACUCCGCCUGGGGAGUACGGUCGCAAGACUGAAACUCAAAGGAAUUGACGGGGGCCCGCACAAGCGGUGGAGCAUGUGGUUUAAUUCGAAGCAACGCGAAGAACCUUACCAGGUCUUGACAUCCUCUGACAAUCCUAGAGAUAGGACGUCCCCUUCGGGGGCAGAGUGACAGGUGGUGCAUGGUUGUCGUCAGCUCGUGUCGUGAGAUGUUGGGUUAAGUCCCGCAACGAGCGCAACCCUUGAUCUUAGUUGCCAGCAUUCAGUUGGGCACUCUAAGGUGACUGCCGGUGACAAACCGGAGGAAGGUGGGGAUGACGUCAAAUCAUCAUGCCCCUUAUGACCUGGGCUACACACGUGCUACAAUGGACAGAACAAAGGGCAGCGAAACCGCGAGGUUAAGCCAAUCCCACAAAUCUGUUCUCAGUUCG
rnacentral:rRNA from 4 species